GUAGGUGGCAAGCGUUGUCCGGAAUUAUUGGGCGUAAAGCGCGCGCAGGCGGUUCUUUAAGUCUGAUGUGAAAGCCCACGGGCUCAACCGUGGAGGGUCAUUGGAAACUGGAGAACUUGAGUACAGAAGAGGAAAGCGGUAUUCCACGUGUAGCGGUGAAAUGCGUAGAGAUGUGGAGGAACACCAGUGGCGAAGGCGGCUUUCUGGUCCGUAACUGACGCUGAGGCGCGAAAGCGUGGGGAGCAAACAGGAUUAGAUACCCUGGUAGUCCACGCCGUAAACGAUGAGUGCUAAGUGUUAGGGGGUUUCCGCCCCUUAGUGCUGCAGCUAACGCAUUAAGCACUCCGCCUGGGGAGUACGGCCGCAAAGGCUG
rnacentral:rRNA from 1 species